GACGAACGCUGGCGGCGUGCUUAACACAUGCAAGUCGAACGGAAAGGCCCUGCUUUUGUGGGGUGCUCGAGUGGCGAACGGGUGAGUAACACGUGAGUAACCUGCCCUUGACUUUGGGAUAACUUCAGGAAACUGGGGCUAAUACCGGAUAGGAGCUCCUGCUGCAUGGUGGGGGUUGGAAAGUUUCGGCGGUUGGGGAUGGACUCGCGGCUUAUCAGCUUGUUGGUGGGGUAGUGGCUUACCAAGGCUUUGACGGGUAGCCGGCCUGAGAGGGUGACCGGCCACAUUGGGACUGAGAUACGGCCCAGACUCCUACGGGAGGCAGCAGUGGGGAAUAUUGCACAAUGGGCGGAAGCCUGAUGCAGCAACGCCGCGUGCGGGAUGACGGCCUUCGGGUUGUAAACCGCUUUCGCCUGUGACGAAGCGUGAGUGACGGUAAUGGGUAAAGAAGCACCGGCUAACUACGUGCCAGCAGCCGCGGUGAUACGUAGGGUGCGAGCGUUGUCCGGAUUUAUUGGGCGUAAAGGGCUCGUAGGUGGUUGAUCGCGUCGGAAGUGUAAUCUUGGGGCUUAACCCUGAGCGUGCUUUCGAUACGGGUUGACUUGAGGAAGGUAGGGGAAGAAUGGAAUUCCUGGUGGAGCGGUGGAAUGCGCAGAUAUCAGGAGGAACACCAGUGGCGAAGGCGGUUCUCUGGGCCUUUCCUGACGCUGAGGAGCGAAAGCGUGGGGAGCGAACAGGCUUAGAUACCCUGGUAGUCCACGCUGUAAACGGUGGGUACUAGGUGUGGGGUCCAUUCCACGGGUUCCGUGCCGUAGCUAACGCUUUAAGUACCCCGCCUGGGGAGUACGGCCGCAAGGCUAAAACUCAAAGGAAUUGACGGGGCCCCGCACAAGCGGCGGAGCAUGCGGAUUAAUUCGAUGCAACGCGUAGAACCUUACCUGGGUUUGACAUGGAUCGGGAGCGCUCAGAGAUGGGUGUGCCUCUUUUGGGGUCGGUUCACAGGUGGUGCAUGGCUGUCGUCAGCUCGUGUCGUGAGAUGUUGGGUUAAGUCCCGCAACGAGCGCAACCCUUGUUCACUGUUGCCAGCACGUUAUGGUGGGGACUCAGUGGAGACCGCCGGGGUCAACUCGGAGGAAGGUGGGGAUGACGUCAAGUCAUCAUGCCCCUUAUGUCCAGGGCUUCACGCAUGCUACAAUGGCUGGUACAGAGAGUGGCGAGCCUGUGAGGGUGAGCGAAUCUCGGAAAGCCGGUCUCAGUUCGGAUUGGGGUCUGCAACUCGACCUCAUGAAGUCGGAGUCGCUAGUAAUCGCAGAUCAGCAACGCUGCGGUGAAUAUGUUCCCGGGGCU
rnacentral:rRNA from 1 species